AGUGAACGCUGGCGGUAGGCCUAACACAUGCAAGUCGAACGGCAGCACAGGAGAGCUUGCUCUCUGGGUGGCGAGUGGCGGGCGGGUGAGGAAUACAUCGGAAUCUACUCUGUCGUGGGGGAUAACGUAGGGAAACUUACGCUAAUACCGCAUACGACCUACGGGUGAAAGCAGGGGACCUUCGGGCCUUGCGCGAUUGAAUGAGCCGAUGUCGGAUUAGCUAGUUGGCGGGGUAAAGGCCCACCAAGGCGACGAUCCGUAGCUGGUCUGAGGGGAUGAGCAGCCACACUGGAACUGAGACACGGUCCAGACUCCGACGGGAGGCAGCAGUGGGGAAUAUUGGACAAUGGGCGCAAGCCUGAUCCAGCCAUACCGCGUGGGUGAAGAAGGCCUUCGGGUUGUAAAGCCCUUUUGUUGGGAAAGAAAUCCAGCUGGCUAAUACCCGGUUGGGAUGACGGUACCCAAAGAAUAAGCACCGGCUAACUUCGUGCCAGCCGCCGCGGUAA
rnacentral:rRNA from 1 species